GCCUUGCUUCGAGUUAUGAUGCCUGAAGUGACGCCCCCUGCCGUGAUGACGCUCUUGUUUCUUGCAUCGGCAGCGAGAACAACUUGGGCCUUCUUUGACGCCAUUUGUGUUUAUUGCGGAUUCAAAGAUAGAGAUGAGAGGUAGAGACGGUCCCACUGGGCGUGCCAAAUUUGUAAACACGGAAAUUCCUGAAACAAGAACGUGUACAAAAUAAUAUUUGUAUUAAUGAUUUAGGGGUUACAAUCUCUUCUACAAAUUUAGCCUUUGAUUCUAUCUUUGUAAUGGGUAGAUUUGUUGUUGUUGAUCCAAAGGGCCGUCGGGGCUUGAUCUUUAGGAUGAACGGAUGAUGAAUGAUGAACACUUUCUUCAAGGGCCGUCGGGGCUUGAUCUUGAAUUAGUGGAAGUUUCUUCAAGGCCCGUUGGGGUUUGAUCUUGAAAAAGGAUUUGACGAAGAACGAAGAGGGCUUUCUUGAUUCUUCGGGAUUUGCUUGAGAGUAGAGAAAAUGUAUGUAAAUUUCCUCCCCUUGAUUCUUUGAUGGAGGAGCCUAUUUAUAGGCUUUGGGAAUGAAUCACCACCAUCCAUUUGUUUUGGUGGAUGUUGUAGGUGAAUUUUGGUGGAUGUUGUAGGUGAAACUUGGUGGAUGUUUGUAGGUGAAACUUGGUGGAUGUUGUAGGUGAAACUUGGUGGAUGUUGUAGGUGAAGUGAAUGAAGGUUGUAAUUUUAAUACAAUGGUCAACAUUUAUUUCACCAAAAUUUCAAUGUUUACAAAUGUAAUCUUAAUGCAAUAGCUAACAUUUAUGCCACCGAAAUUUCAAUGUCUACAAACAUGUAUCAAUUUUGCAAGGCUACAUCGAAAUCCGAAGCUAUGAAUUUAGUUACACAUCAUGUUCACAAAAAUUAAAAUGAAAAUACACAACAUGAGUGAAAAUAAAUUCAAGUGAGGAAACCCUUGAAGCAAUUCUGAUGUAGAACUUCUCCAAGAACAUCCUUCUGUGACGAGUCUUCGGUAAUGGUGGAAGUGUAUUGAACGACUAGGGUUUUGAGUGUGGAUGAAAAGAGAGGAAAAUCGAUGAUUAGAAUUGUGUAAUUCGUUCAAAAUAAAAAAGCCAUGUAAAAGUGGCUAAAAGGCAAGUUUUUAUGGGGUAAAAGAGGCUGCAAGAUAUUCCAAAGUGAUCCUAGCAACUUAGCCAUUAUUUUGCACCUUUUUGCCUCAUUUGGCACCUCCAAAUGAGGUUAGAUAUCCCAAUUCCUUUCCCAUUUUGUUCCUGGUCUUCUAACAAGCCAUAUUCAUCUUAGAUUCUUUAUUUAGACUUCAAAACAAGUAACAACUUUAUUUGGGCUCCAAAACAUGCCACCAAACUUCUCUCCACGUUUGGAUAAGGGUCAGCUCCAAAAUGGUACGUUUUCACUUCUUUUGCCUUCAAAUUGAUCCUAAAGUACAUGUAAUUGCACACUAAAACAAAAUAGGGUAAAAUGGAACCAGUUUAACUUAAAAACAACACAAAGAGACUAGAAAUGGAUGGUAUAAAUGCGUGAAAUAUAUGAGAUAUCACUUGUUGCACAUUCACAUGCCUCCAUGCCUAAGUAGCUUAACCUCAACUAUGUUGUGGACACCCUCUAAUGGAGUGCCUUUAACACAGUCAAAGAUUAAGGACUUAACCACAAGACAACUAUGAUGCCUAAGGUUAAAGGACUACUUUGCAUUAUCCUAACCAUGAGUUCUCAUGUGACAUGAGUAUGAAAACUCCUUGUUGGUCACAUUCAGUGGACUCUAUAUUGAGCACCUACAUACUUGUCUGGGUGUCAUUCACACCAAUGACUUGAGACCAGCCAUUUUCCUGAGAGAGAAGACAUAACAUGUACUGAUCUAUGCAGAUAGUCAAUGCCCAAUUGGCAAUGACCUAUCAUCAUGAACGUUUAGGAUACGUGUACGAAAGAGAAUGGUCUUAUGAAUCUAGCUUCGUUAGAUCACAUUCUCCUAAUUACAUAUUCCUUGGACUUAUCGUUCAAGCCUAUAACAUUUAAUGAACGACUUUAAACAAUAAUUUUUGCCCCAACAUUAAACUAGUUUUUUUUUUUUUUUUUUACAUGUGAAAUGUUCAAAAAGUAUCAUCUUAUGAUUGACUUUAGGGCAUAUUUCUAACAAUUUAAGUAUACUAGUUUAGUUUUCCAACAUGAUUAUACGAACAAUUUUAUUUUGAAAGAAAUUAAUUUUUUAAAGCUUUUUAAAUUAAUAUAAUUAGAAUUAAAU
rnacentral:lncRNA from 1 species